GUCCACGCCCUAAACGAUGCCUGCUAGGUGUUUCGAGUAUCGACCCUCGGAGUGCCGUAGUUAACGCGUUAAGCAGGCCGCCUGGGAAGUACGAGCGCAAGCUUAAAACUCAAAGGAAUAGACGGGGACUCGCACAAGCGGUGGAACAUGAGGUUCAAUUCGAUGACAAGCGAGGAACCUUACCAGGGUUUGAAAUGCUUAUUGACCGCCGAUGGAAACAUUGGCUUUCCCUUAAAAGACAAUAAGCACAGGUGCUGCAUGGUUGUCGU
rnacentral:rRNA from 1 species